AGAGUUUGAUCCUGGCUCAGGAUGAACGCUGGCGGCGUGCUUAACACAUGCAAGUCGAACGAAGCACCUUGAUUUGAUUCUUCGGAUGAAGAUCUUGGUGACUGAGUGGCGGACGGGUGAGUAACGCGUGGGUAACCUGCCUCAUACAGGGGGAUAACAGUUAGAAAUGACUGCUAAUACCGCAUAAGACCACAGCACCGCAUGGUGCAGGGGUAAAAACUCCGGUGGUAUGAGAUGGACCCGCGUCUGAUUAGGCAGUUGGUGGGGUAACGGCCUACCAAGCCGACGAUCAGUAGCCGACCUGAGAGGGUGACCGGCCACAUUGGGACUGAGACACGGCCCAAACUCCUACGGGAGGCAGCAGUGGGGAAUAUUGCACAAUGGGGGAAACCCUGAUGCAGCGACGCCGCGUGAGCGAUGAAGUAUUUCGGUAUGUAAAGCUCUAUCAGUAGGGAAGAAAAUGACGGUACCUGACUAAGAAGCACCGGCUAAAUACGUGCCAGCAGCCGCGGUAAUACGUAUGGUGCAAGCGUUAUCCGGAUUUACUGGGUGUAAAGGGAGCGUAGACGGAGUGGCAAGUCUGAUGUGAAAACCCGGGGCUCAACCCCGGGACUGCAUUGGAAACUGUCAAUCUAGAGUACCGGAGAGGUAAGCGGAAUUCCUAGUGUAGCGGUGAAAUGCGUAGAUAUUAGGAGGAACACCAGUGGCGAAGGCGGCUUACUGGACGGUAACUGACGUUGAGGCUCGAAAGCGUGGGGAGCAAACAGGAUUAGAUACCCUGGUAGUCCACGCCGUAAACG
rnacentral:rRNA from 1 species